GCCUCGUUGGCACAGUAGGCAGUGCGUCAGUCUCAUAAUCUGAAGGUCGUGAGUUCGAUCCUCAUACGAGGCA